rnacentral:lncRNA from 1 species
ACAUAUUCUUCAAAUGCCGUGAUCCAUUCUUCCAAGUCAUCUGUUCCGACUUUAUCAUCUUCAACUACACACGUGAUAACAAGUUUCUUAAUUCCAUAACCAACAGCUGCUAGUUUAGCUGAAAAGAAAAUUACGCCCCCUUGCUUUAACAAGACUGGUACCUACGACAUGUCUGCAGAAGUCAGGGAGCAUGCAUGGAGCAAAGUCGAAACUUCAAAACUUAGAAAUAUCAUGUGAAGGCAGCCGAGCUAAUGUAUCUUUGUAAACCUACACUGUAUAGAGUUCCUGCCAAACGACUCCAAAAAUUGUGUCCAGCUACAUGUAAGUAUCUACACCUGCAGUUAGUGAGUUAGUGGCUACCAAACUCCAAAAAUCAUGUGGAGCUAGUAUCUUAGCCCGGAGCAUAGAUUGUCAAGAUGUGAUGGUCUAGAAGCAAGGCAAACUUCAAAGCUACAAAAUAGAAGCCUUAAUUUGUUACUUGAUGUUGAACUGUACCUCACCAUGAACAAAUAAUUUGUCUCAACUUCAUUAAGUAUUAUUCAUCGUGGUUGCACGUUUCCACUCAGCUAUGCCUACUGGACGAUUACUUCCUUAUACGAAAAUCAAUGAAAUUAAUCACCGUGACCAUGCACAAAUUAACAUAAACUCCGACAAAAACAAAACAAAACAAAAACAAAAACAAAAACAAAAACAAAACAAAACAAAACAAAACAAAACAAAACAAAACAAAACAAAACAAAACAAAACAAAACACAAUAACUUCUGUUUAGUUUCCACACCAUCGUGCAAUCUUCACAAACUAAGCCUGGAGGUAAUGGCUAAUAGAGGUGUGCAAAUCCGAUCCGAAACCGAUCCGUUCGGAUUUCGGAACCAAAAUAUUCA